UACAGAGGGUGCAAGCGUUGUUCGGAAUUAUUGGGCGUAAAGCGCUCGCAGGCGGCCUGGUGCGUCGUGCGUGAAAGGCCCCGGCUCAACCGGGGGCGGUCGUGCGAUACGGCUAGGCUUGAGGCCAGUAGGGGGACGCGGAAUUCCGGGUGUAGUGGUGGAAUGCGUAGAGAUCCGGAGGAACACCAGUGGCGAAGGCGGGUCUCUGGACAGUUCCUGACGCUGAGGCACGAAGGCCAGGGGAGCAAACGGG
rnacentral:rRNA from 1 species